CUACUAGAUUAGGUCAGUCAUAAUGUAAUCAUUUGGGCUACUAGUAUCAGAACAUCAGAGAUUAGGUCAGUCAUAAUGUAAUCAUUUGGGCUACUAGUAUCAGAACAUCAGAGAUUAGGUCAGUCAUAAUGUAAUCAUUUGGGCUACUAGAUUAGGUCAGUCAUAAUGUAAUCAUUUGGGCUACUAGUAUCAGAACAUCAGAGAUUAGGUCAGUCAUAAUGUAAUCAUUUGGGCUACUAGAUUAGGUCAGUCAUAAUGUAAUCAUUUGGGCUACUAGUAUCAGAACAUCAGAGAUUAGGUCAGUCAUAAUGUAAUCAUUUGGGCUACUAGAUUAGGUCAGUCAUAAUGUAAUCAUUUGGGCUACUAGAUUAGGUCAGUCAUAAUGUAAUCAUUUGGGCUACUAGUAUCAGAACAUCAGAGAUUAGGUCAGUCAUAAUGUAAUCAUUUGGGCUACUAGAUUAGGUCAGUCAUAAUGUAAUCAUUUGGGCUACUACAGUAUCAGAACAUCAGAGAUUAGGUCAGUCAUAAUGUAAUCAUUUGGGCUACUAGAUUAGGUCAGUCAUAAUGUAAUCAUUUGGGCUACUAGUAUCAGAACAUCAGAGAUUAGGUCAGUCAUAAUGUAAUCAUUUGGGCUACUAGUAUCAGAACAUCAGAGAUUAGAUCAGUCAUAAUGUAAUCAUUUGGGCUACUAGAUUAGGUCAGUCAUAAUGUAAUCAUUUGGGCUACUAGAUUAGGUCAGUCAUAAUGUAAUCAUUUGGGCUACUAGAUUAGGUCAGUCAUAAUGUAAUCAUUUGGGCUACUAGAUUAGAUCAGUCAUAAUGUAAUCAUUUGGGCUACUAGAUUAGGUCAGUCAUAAUGUAAUCAUUUGGGCUACUAGAUUAGGUCAGUCAUAAUGUAAUCAUUUGGGCUACUAGAUUAGGUCAGUCAUAAUGUAAUCAUUUGGGCUACUAGAUUAGGUCAGUCAUAAUGUAAUCAUUUGGGCUACUAGAUUAGAUCAGUAAUAAUGUAAUCAUUUGGGCUA